AUUGAACGCUGGCGGAAUGCUUUACACAUGCAAGUCGAACGGCAGCACGGGGGCAGCCCUGGUGGCGAGUGGCGAACGGGUGAGUAAUACAUCGGAACGUGCCCGGUUGUGGGGGAUAACGUAGCGAAAGUUACGCUAAUACCGCAUACGAUCUGAGGAUGAAAGCGGGGGACCUUCGGGCCUCGCGCGAUCGGAGCGGCCGAUGUCAGAUUAGGUAGUUGGUGGGGUAAAGGCCUACCAAGCCGACGAUCUGUAGCUGGUCUGAGAGGACGACCAGCCACACUGGGACUGAGACACGGCCCAGACUCCUACGGGAGGCAGCAGUGGGGAAUUUUGGACAAUGGGCGCAAGCCUGAUCCAGCCAUUCCGCGUGCAGGACGAAGGCCUUCGGGUUGUAAACUGCUUUUGUACGGAACGAAAAGGCUCUGGCUAAUACCUGGGGCUCAUGACGGUACCGUAAGAAUAAGCACCGGCUAACUACGUG
rnacentral:rRNA from 1 species